CACUUCCUAUUUUAUCUUGUCAACAAUCGUGACCGUGAAAACGCAAUUAGCCAAUAUAAAACUUUCUUGGCAUUUGUUUUACUGGACGACAAUUUUCUCAUCGCAUCCAUCGAAUUGAUUAAUCAGUUGAUGGACUCAAAGCUGGGAUAAUUUGAAGAAGAUCAGUUGAAUACUUAUGACUGAUUCGAACUUGUGAAGUACGUUUGUGUUGUCCCGCCUCCGCCGCCUAUACACAUGAUACAUAAUUUACGUCAUUGUUGCUGAUGUGUUUAGUUUGUUUACAUUCCAUUUCCAGUUUUGACUUAGGAAUUGUUCGAAAGAUUGCCCAAAAUGAGUGAUCGACUUAUCAACGAAGGAGUGAAAUGGAUGUUGGUGUUUUUGUGGCUUCUGGCCAAUCUAGUCACAUGGUUGGCGUCCUACUUGACCUACGCCAACUCAGAUGAAUUCUUCUACAUGCGGCAUCUCAUGGGGGCGAGUCUUCCCGUUGCUAGGGCGAGUGCUACAUGUCUCAACCUCAACAGUAUGAUGAUCCUGCUCCCAGUCUGUCGCAACAUCAUUUCCUUCUUCAGAGGAUCUUGUGAGACAAAUAGGUAUUAUCGUCGUAAUCUGAGACGUCAGCUUGACAAGAACAUCACCUUCCACAAAGUGGUUGCCUACUUGGUUGUGUUCUUCACCAUCAUCCACGUCGUUAGUCAUUGUUUCAAUUCCCAAAACCUCUACAACUCAGUCACUAGUGAAUCGGGACCACUGGCUGCACUCUUGAGCUUAAUACGGACAGAAUCAGGAAAACCCCUCAAUCCUAUCCAAGUCCUCAAUAAGAGUCCGUAUGGUCUGACUCUUAUUGACAAGGUGUUGCAGUUGCUUCCUGGAUGGACCGGUGCCGUCCUUACAUUAGUCCUCAUUGUCAUGUUUUCAUCUUCAACAGAAUUUAUCAGACGAUCUUACUUUGAGACGUUCUGGUUUACGCAUCACCUCUUUUUCCUGUAUUUUGCCAUGAUUCUGGCCCACGGAGCGCAAGGCAUUGUGAGCCGACAGUCUAAUGUUGCUGUUCACGAUCCAAAGAAGUGUUCAGAAACGUUUGCCCAGUGGCCGACUGACGAGUGUCCUGAUCCGACGUUUGUUAACGGCUCGGCAGGAACUUGGAAGUGGCUUCUUUUCCCGAUCGUGUGCUACAUCUUUGAGAGGAUAUUUCGUAUCUACAGAGCUUGGCAAACCAUUAUCAUUACCAAGGUUGUCCAGCAUCCGUCCAGCGUGAUUGAGCUUCAGAUGAAGAAGCAAGGCUUCAAGAUGCUGCCAGGCCAGUAUGUCUUCCUCCUCUGCCCGUCCAUAUCAAGAUUCCAGUGGCACCCCUUCACACUGACCUCUUCACCUGAGGAGGAUUAUCUGAGCGUUCACAUCCGUACCGUCGGUGAUUGGACCAAUAAGCUGCGAGAAAAAGUGGGAGCAGAUGAAGGGGAACAGUCCGUAGCAAAGCUGCCCAGCAUCGCCAUAGAUGGUCCGUUUGGCACAGCUAGCAUUGACAUCUUCGAGUAUGAAGUUGGGAUUUGCAUCGGAGCAGGAAUUGGCGUCACCCCGUUUGCCUCCAUUCUCAAAUCCAUCUCCCACAAAGUCCUCGACCCAGAAAAUGAGCUGAAACUCAAGAAGGUCUAUUUCUUCUGGAUUUGCCGAGACACCAACGCCUUUGAGUGGUUCACUGAGAUGUUGUCAUCAUUGGAGUCGAUGCUGAUCGAGAACGGUCAGGGAGAUUUUCUCGAGUAUCACAUUUAUUUGAGUCGAGGGUGGAGUCACAGACAAGCCAAGAACAUUUACUUGCAAGAGGAACAAGCAGUUGAUGCGAUCACCGGCCUGAGACAGAAGACGAACUACGGCCGGCCCAAGUGGGACGAAACCUUCAAGAUGCUCGCUGAAACCCACCCAGCCGUUCAUGCAGGAGUGUUCUUUUGUGGGCCCAAGAAUCUUUCUACUGUGCUACACAAGUGUUGCAAUCGUUACUCUAGCUUCAAACAAGACGGAUGUCGUUUCUUCUACAACAAAGAAAACUUCUAAGCAACUGAACAGCUUCACAGACAGGAAAAGAUUUGUAUCUUUUGCCGAAACCUAAAAUGGAAUUGUCUUUCAAAACUUAUAUAUGCCAAUUAUAGCAAAAUUAAAUGGGAGUACUAAAUUAAAGAUGAUUACCAUGAUUUCAAAUUAACUUUUGAUGUAACUGACUUUGACCAGUAUCAUAUAAAGUGUAAGCAACUACAAAAUAAUGUACGUGUAUUGAGCAUUAAGAUAGAACUGUUUCUACAUUUUGAAGGAACAGGAAUUGACUAUUAAAAUGAUUAGAUGCAGUUAUUGAUGAAUGUGCUAUUUAUUUCAUAACGAUGCCUGCUUAUAUAGCUUUAUAUUGUAUGUGCUACAGUGAAUCAUUAUUUCUUAAUUAGUAUUUUUGGGAAAGGUUUGUAAAUGUUGUACUAAUUUUACUAAUAAAAGUGCCUCAUUAUUUUUAAUUGAAUACUUGUAUACAUCUUGGAUACUGACAUUUUUAAAAUCGUUUUUAAAAUCUGUGCGGCAGCACAGAAAAAAAAUCUAACUUAACAGAUACAAUGCAUGACAAUCAUAGAAACAGUAAAUAGUACUUGAGAAAGCUGACCAAACAAUAUUAAAAUGAUUUUUGUCUGAAUAUAAAAUGACAUUGACAGAAUCAUACCGUACAUUGUACAUUCCAUUUAAUAUGAACAUGUAUCCCGAGUAUUUUUUAACAUUUGAUAUUAACUGUUUUAUCAUUUGCGACUUUUGACUUCUUGUAUAAACACUUAUUUAUCUACAGUGUAUUUUAUUGACAUAUUUGUACCAGUAAAAGUUUUAUCUGUCAAGUGGAAAUGUAUUCUACAUAAAGGCCAUGUACUUGUACUGCUUUUUGGUGUGCUUAUUAAAGGGGUAUUAUAGUUAGACGCUGGAUUUUGUGUACGUCAGAUUGUCAAUUUGAUUAAAAUUAUGUUGAUUGUAAACAGGAUGGGAUCAUUGAA